rnacentral:tRNA from 1 species
UUUUAUAUAGUUUAAUCAUAAAACAUUAUAUUUUCAUUAUAAAAAUAAAGAUUUAAUUUCUUUUAUAAAAU